rnacentral:lncRNA from 1 species
AAGAGGGAAUACGUGUCCGACCUGAUUAUACAGUGCUUGGCACAUGGUGAACGUGCGGGAAGGCCGUGGCUGGCCCCUUGGUUGCAGAUGAAUCCGUAGACUAGCCCAAGAAGCCCCUGAGAAGCCGGUCCAGGCGCUGCUGCUUCUGGGGACUGACUGGACCCCUACUUUGUCCAAAACCCUGGACUGGGCACCUGCUCCUGACUUUGCUGACUCAGUACUCCUCUGGUUUUCCUCCUGUCUCUCCAACUGCUCCUUCUCCGUCUCCUCUGCUGGUUCCCCUUCCCACUCUCAUCUCGUCAUUAGAAAAGCAGCAUCGCCAUAGCGGGCCUGGGAGUUAGAGGACCUGAAUUCUAAUCCCGGCUCUGCCACUCUCCGGCUGUUCUUGCCCUCGGGCAAGGCAAAUCAGUUAACUUCUCUGGGCCGCCGCUUCCUCACCUGCAAAACGGGGAUUCGGUAGCUAUUCUCCCUCAAACUCAACAUAUCCACAACUGAACUUCUCAUCUUCUCUCCUAAACCCUCCCCCUCCCUCAGCUUCCCAACCUUGACAUAUUUCCUGAAUCCGAAGCUCUCAACCUGAGCAUCAUCCUUGAGGUGUCUCUGUCAUUCUGUUCUUGCAUCUAAU